rnacentral:rRNA from 1 species
GUGUCAGCAGCCGCGGUAAUACGAGGGGGGCAAAUGUUGUUCGGAAUCACUGGGCGUAAAGGGAGCGUAGGCGGGUGUUUAAGUUAGGUGUUUAAUCCCGGGGCCCAACCCCGGACAGGCACCUAAAACUGGACAUCUUGAAUAGUGGAGAGGACGACGGAAUUGGGGGUGUAGCGGUGGAAUGCGUAGAGAUCCCCAAGAACACCAGUUGCGAAGGCGGUCGUCUGGACACAUAUUGACGCUGAGGCUCGAAAGCAUGGGGAGCAAACAGGAUUAGAUACCCUAGUAGUCC